AUUGAACGCUGGCGGAAUGCUUUACACAUGCAAGUCGAACGGCAGCACGGACUUCGGUCUGGUGGCGAGUGGCGAACGGGUGAGUAAUGUAUCGGAACGUGCCCAGUCGUGGGGGAUAACGUAGUGAAAAUUACGCUAAUACCCCAUACGAUCAAUGGAUGAAAGCGGGGGAUCGCAAGACCGCGCGCGAUUGGAGCGGCCGAUAUCAGAUUAGGUAGUUGGUGGGGGAAAGGACCACCAAGCCAACGAUCUGUAGCGGGUCUGAGAGGACGACCAGCCACACUGGAACUGAGACACGGUCCAGACUCCUACGGGAGGCAGCAGUGGGGAAUUUUGGACAAUGGGCGAAAGCCUGAUCCAGCCAUUCCGCGUGCAGGAUGAAGGCCCUCGGGUUGUAAACUGCUUUUGUACAGAACGAAAAGGUUUCUACUAAUACUAGGAGCUCAUGACGGUACUGUAAGAAUAAGCACCGGCUAACUACGUGCCAGCAGCCGCCGUAA
rnacentral:rRNA from 1 species